rnacentral:lncRNA from 1 species
AAACCGUUAUUUCCUAUUGGGCGUUGGACCCAACUAUUCCAAUUUGCAUACAUUUAAACAAAAAGGAAUACUUGAAAUAAAGAGAAGGGCUUAUGCCCUUUUACAACACAUUUGAUGGACUUAUGUCCAUUUACAACAAAUUGAACUAAUCAAAUUACAUUCAAAUCUAAACUACUUAACCCAAACAUUCAUAAUGUAAAGCGGCCAAUCACAUAGCUCAAUUAUCGAGGCCUUUGGUUCAUAAUCACCCUUUUCUUAAUCAAUCAUAUUAACUAAGAAAGCAACUUAAACAAUUGGUUUCGGAUUCAUAGAAUUGAUUUCAAUGGAACUAAUUGAAAUGAAAAUCCAAUUCUCAUUAAAGAGACAAAACCAUUUUGUUCUCAUCUUAUUUGGGCCAAAAACAGUGACCUCAACAAUUGGGCCAUUAUUUAAUAAACAAAAACUUUUGGGGUCACUUUGUAAAAACACAAGAGUCCACAACUUCAUGUAAUUACAACUAGAACCCAAAAUUUUAACAAUGUAAAAACAUCAUUAAAGGAGCAAAACAAUUUGUCCUUUAGAGUUUUUGGGCCUUAACGUAAAAACGUAAACUUUUGGGUCAAAGUGCAAAUACACAAAAGUAUCAAAAACUUUAUGUAAUUGCAUAAAAGGCCCCAAAAGUACCCCCACUAGGGGGUGGCCGGUUUUAGGUGUGAAAAGGAGGUGUGAAAAGGUUUUGGUGAAAACUCAAAAAAAAUUUUAAAAAAUCUAGUGCAAGUGGUUUAUGCAAGUGGUGAGGAUAAAGGUUGAUUUGUGAAGGGUGUAAGAAAAAUGUUUUGUGAACAUUAAUGGCAUUUAAUCACCCAUCACCAAUCAUCCAUCACCUUUCAUAAAUAAACCAAAACUUUAUUAAAACCACCAAACAUUUUGAAUCAAAACUCCAAACCUUUUUGUUCUUGGUAAGAAACUCAAGAACAUUGAAGAACACACAUGAAAACUCAUAAGAGUUCCAUGGAUGUUUUCACACAAUAAAACUCAUAUUUUCACAACACAAAAGAGGGUUAAUAUCCUAGGGUACUUAGGGGUUCCAAAAGUCACUUUAAAACCAUUUUAACAAGACAAACAAGAACCCAAAAAUCCACCCUUUGGAUUUGGACGAAUUUCCCAACAUUCAUGGCACCAAAUUUAGUUCCAAUAUUCAUGCUUAAAUGAACUACAUCUACAACAUUUGAGAUGCUAAAUUUUCAAGCAAAAUUUAUAUUCAAAAGCAAGAACAAAGCUUGUAACAUUUACAACAUUUAAAUCACAAAUCAUGAAAAUCACAAAACCCAAAGGGAUUCACCAUAAACUAGACCUAGGCUCUGAUACCACUUGAAGGAAAAAUUUUGUCCUAGCUAAGAACAUGUGAGAAUAUUUGAAUACAUAUGCAAACUAUUAAAACAUUAAAGUAGGCAUGCAUUCAAAACAAUUCAUAAAACCCAUGACUUUCAAAGCCUAGUGAAUGGUGAACCAACAAACUCUUUAACAACAUUAAAGAAAAUAAAAGAUUUAGAGAUUCUUUACCCUUGAAGCUCAUCCUUGAUUACACAAGGGAUUCACCCAAGUGGAGG